rnacentral:rRNA from 1 species
CUCUAGCCGGGGGGCUAGUAGACUCUGCUCAAUGACCCCUAAAUGGCCGCAGUAUUUUAACUGUGCUAAGGUAGCAUAAUAAUUAGGCUUUUUAUAAAAGUCUGGAAUGAAAGAGCUGACGACUCCCAAGCUUUCCUGAUUUAGACCUAUAAAUUUAUUUCUAAGUAAAAAAGCUUAGCUUUCUAGAAAGACGAUAAGACCCUAUAAAGCUUUACCGGUAAAAUAAUGUGUAUAAAGUCUAUGCUGUUUGGGCAGGUUGAGCUGGGGCGGCAAAUAAAUCUCUUUAUUGGACAAAACAAAAUUUUUGAGAGGCUAGAUCUAAUAAGAAAUAGAAUUAGCUACUUUAGGGAUAACAGCGCAAUCUUUCUAUAGAGAACCUAUCGAUAGAAAGGACUUGCGACCUCGAUGUUGAAUUGAGGGGCCUAAAUUAAGCAAAAAUAAUUUAAGGGAGUCUGUUCGACUUUUAAUACCUC